GACGAACGCUGGCGGCGUGCUUAACACAUACAAGUCGAACGGAAAGGCCUGCUUUCCCUUGUGGAUUGCGGGUACUCGAGUGGCGAACGGGUGAGUAACACGUGAGUGAUCUGCCCCCAACUUGGGUAUAAGCCUGGGAAACUGGGUCUAAUUCCCGAUAGGACUGCAGGGUGGUGCCUGUGGUGGAAAACGAUUUUCUAGUGGUUGGGGAUGAGCUCGCGGCCUAUCAGCUUGUUGGUGGGGUAAUGGCCUACCAAGGCGGCGACGGGUAGCCGGCCUGGGAGGGUGGACGGCCACAUUGGGACUGAGAUACGGCCCAGACUCCUACGGGAGGCAGCAGUGGGGAAUAUUGCACAAUGGGCGGAAGCCUGAUGCAGCGACGCCGCGUGGGGGAUGACGGCCUUCGGGUUGUAAACUCCUUUCGACCGCGAGGAAGCCACCUGGUUGGAAGGGUGGUGACGGUAGUGGUAGAAGAAGCACCGGCUAACUACGUG
rnacentral:rRNA from 1 species